UUAGUGGCGAACGGGUGAGUAAUACAUUUCGCAACCUACCUUUGGGACUGGGAUAACAGUUGGAAACGACUGCUAAUACCGGAUAGGUAAGUGGAAGGCAUCUUCUACUUAUUAAAGUUUAGAUACACCAAAAGAUGGGCUUAUGUCGCAUUAGUUAGUUGGAGAGGUAACGGCUCACCAAGACGAUGAUGCGUAGCCGACCUGAGAGGGUGACCGGCCACAUUGGGACUGAGACACGGCCCAAACUCCUACGGGAGGCAGCAGUAGUUUAAUUUUCGGCAAUGGGCGCAAGCCUGACCGAGCAACGCCGGCGUGAGUGAAGACGGCCUUAGGGUUGUAAAGCUCUGUUUGUAAAGGAAGAAAAGCUAGAAUAGAAUUUUGGUCUGACGGUACUUUACCAGAAAGCCACGGCUAACUACGUGCCAGCAGCGCGGUAAUACGUAGGUGGCAAGCGUUAUCCGGAAUUAUUGGCGCGUAAAGGGAGCGCAGGCGGUUGAUUAAGUUUAAGGUGAAGCGUGGGGCUAACCCCCAUAAAGCCUUAGAAACUGGUCAACUAGAGUGCAGAAGAGGGUAGUGGAAUUCCAUGUGUAAG
rnacentral:rRNA from 1 species